GUCUCUGUAGUAUAUUGAUUAUAUUGGUCUUGUAAACCAAAGAAGAGGAAAUAAGUUCCUCCAAAGACU
rnacentral:tRNA from 1 species